UCCCAGAUUCACCUGCAGCCGUGUCGCAGAGGAGAAGUACAUUCAUUCACAUGGAUUGAAGUAGAAUUUGCUGGUCUGACAUCUGUUGAUCUCAAGACUACUUUCUUCAAUGGGGUGGAUCAGUAUCUACCAGGGCUACUAGACCUGUACGAGACCAUGGCUGGGAUGCUAGCUGGACUGAGCAAGCUGUUUUGAAGUAAGUUUACUUCGGCCCAAUCCGAAUUCUUCCCUUCUCCUUUCCUCUCCAUUUGAAGGGGCACUUCAAGUGGGAGUCGUGUCCAGGAAAUUUGCUGUUCCGCUGGUGUAUUCAUUCCUGAUCCAUCCUGGUCACUCCCAAAGAGAACCUCAGCAUCUUCAUCUCUGCUUCCUCCAGCUCUGCUUCCUGUCUCUAGGCAACCCUUUACACAAAAAAGAUGGAAAUUGUUCUGCUGGGCCUUCCCCACUUUCUCAAGGAGGACCCCUCAUGGCAUUCCAAAACUCCUGAGGUAAGCUUAAUUUGACCACAUUGUUGUUAACAAUGCAGUUGUAAUGAAAAUUAUUUAACUGGAAAAGUUCACACAUUAACGCAGUCCAGUAAGUAAUUGAUAAAAUCCAGGUAAUUUAAAUGAUCACAUCCAAACAUUAAAAAAAAAAAAAUUAGACCACACAGACAGAGGCAGCAAUACGCCACAGCUCUUCCAGCAAAGCAGAAAUUUGCUGUGCGAUUGCAAAAGAAGAGACAUUUGUUGUUUUAUAUUUCAUCCCUACUGAAAUUACCAGCU